GAUGAACGUUGGCGGCGUGCCUAAUACUUGCAAGUCGAGCGAACAGACGAGGAGCUUGCUCCUCUGACGUUAGCGGCGGACGGGUGAGUAACACGUGGAUAACCUACCUAUAAGACUGGGAUAACUUCGGGAAACCGGAGCUAAUACCGGAUAAUAUAUUGAACCGCAUGGUUCAAUAGUGAAAGACGGUUUUGCUGUCACUUAUAGAUGGAUCCGCGCCGCAUUAGCUAGUUGGUAAGGUAACGGCUUACCAAGGCAACGAUGCGUAGCCGACCUGAGAGGGUGAUCGGCCACACUGGAACUGAGACACGGUCCAGACUCCUACGGGAGGCAGCAGUAGGGAAUCUUCCGCAAUGGGCGAAAGCCUGACGGAGCAACGCCGCGUGAGUGAUGAAGGUCUUCGGAUCGUAAAACUCUGUUAUUAGGGAAGAACAAAUGUGUAAGUAACUAUGCACGUCUUGACGGUACCUAAUCAGAAAGCCACGGCUAACUACGUG
rnacentral:rRNA from 1 species